rnacentral:rRNA from 1 species
UACAGGGGGCGCGAGCGUUGCUCGGAAUCACUGGGCGUAAAGCGUACGCAGGCGGACCGUUAAGUCGGGUGUGAAAUCCCAGGGCUCAACCCUGGACGUGCAUUCGAUACUGGCGGUCUCGAGUACGGGAGAGGUGAGUGGAAUUCCUGGUGUAGAGGUGAAAUGCGUAGAUAUCUGGAGGAACACCGGUGGCGAAGGCGGCAUCCUGGACCGAUACUGACGCUGAGGAGCGAAAGCCAGGGGAGCAAACGGG